rnacentral:rRNA from 1 species
AUUGAACGCUGGCGGCAUGCCUUACACAUGCAAGUCGAACGGUAACGCGGGGCAACCUGGCGACGAGUGGCGAACGGGUGAGUAAUGCAUCGGAACGUGCCCAGUAGUGGGGGAUAGCCCGGCGAAAGCCGGAUUAAUACCGCAUACGACCUACGGGUGAAAGCGGGGGACCGUAAGGCCUCGCGCUAUUGGAGCGGCCGAUGUCAGAUUAGGUUGUUGGUGGGGUAAAAGCCUACCAAGCCGACGAUCUGUAGCUGGUCUGAGAGGACGACCAGCCACACUGGGACUGGGACACGGCCCAGACUCCGACGGGAGGCAGCAGUGGGGAAUUUUGGACAAUGGGGGCAACCCUGAUCCAGCCAUGCCGCGUGCGGGAAGAAGGCCUUCGGGUUGUAAACCGCUUUUGUCAGGGAAGAGACGCUCUGGGCUAAUACCCCGGGGUAAUGACGGUACCUGAAGAAUAAGCACCGGCUAACUACGUGCCAGCCGCCGCCGUAAGAC